rnacentral:lncRNA from 1 species
GGAGAAGGAAGAGGGGAAAAACCAACAGUAAACCCAACCACACCCACUACAAUGCUGCUUACCUUGUUGUGCAUGCCAGCCAGACGAACGAAUCUCCUGAAUGAACUGCGAUUCCUGUUAAAACUGUGCCAUAGUACUAACGUUAACGUUCCUGGUUCUGAAGUUGUUCAUUUCUGCACCAUAGGCUUAGAUUAAAUAUUAACAUUUCAAAGGGUAUUCAAAAGUAAUAUCUGUACUGUUGGAAAGCUGGUAUGUUGUAGAUUUUAGUAAUGUUUUUACAGGGUUGUCUUAGGUCAAAUGAGCUUUAUGUGAGUUUUGUAAAUGUUUUCAUGCUAAUCGCGAGCUAGCACGGCUAAGGCUAGGUGGCAUUGCAAUUAUAGCUAGCCAGCCUGAAAAUACAAAAAAUGCCUAAAAAUACAAAAACAUGUUUCACGUCACUACUCCUCGACAAUAAAUCACCUUUAUGUAGCUAGCUGGGCUGUAAAAAUGUUACAAGACUGCGCCGUUCACUGCGGCAAUGGCUGGGGUGUGCGGAUCAACUUUAUCAUUCAUAGUAGUAUUUAAAAAUAAUCAACCUUGUUAACGUGGACUCAAGGGCAUCAAGUUCAGGAUUAUCAGAGAGCAGAAGCCAAGUGCAGUCAUUUAGGGUCUAUUUGCAGCGGAUAAGGAAGUGCCAUCUUCAAUUGGAUGUUGUUGCAUCAAACUGACUGUACACUGAUUAUUGAAACCUGUUUGAAAGGAGGAGCUAGGGAAAUUGGCUAGUAAAAUUAGCAUAUUAAGGAACGCAUUAAGUUACCGUGUGUAGGUGUAUAUUUAGCAGCUGUAGGCCUCAACUUGACGUGUGCAGGACCGCUUGCAGCCGUUUAUUUAGCACAUGUUGAACCGCCUGCAUGCACAUUUGCGUGCGCUUAACGCCUACACAAUUUUUUUGGUGUAGAUGGCCAAGGAAGAUGCACAUAACUUCCCCAACAUCCCCUCCCAAAUUGAUAUAGAACCUUCACAAAAACACAUGGAGCAACUGCGAAAAGAAAUGGCUGAGAAUAUACUAAAAAUGUCUGAGUUCAACAAAGCCAACAACUGCUUCAUGUGUGCCACUGAUAAAGAACCUGGAUGUGGCCCAAAGACUGACUGGAUGGCAUGCAAAACAUUCAAACGGUGGUUCCAUGUGCUGUGCCUAGGAAUGAAGACAAAAGAGUUCAACAGAGUAAAGAACACAAACUGGAAGUGCAGUCUUUGUUGUUGAAAAUGUAUGCUAUACCCCAUCCACACAGGCUCUGAAAUGUACAUCAACCAGGGAUAAAGAGAAAGUUAACACUGAAAUAUUUCGUACUUAUUUGAAGUAAAAUGUCUGUUCACAUGUUGGGAAAGAUUAAAGGUCUACAAUUUCUGUUUAGUUUGUUAAUAUAACAUUUUUAUUCAUUGAUUUCCUGGCCACCAUUACUGUGGUUACAUGUUCAGGAUAUGUAUUGACCAGCAAACCCACUGCAGCCUAGCUCACUCUCUAUCCCUGCGUUGGACAAUUAAUAACAUGACUCUUUGUACUUUGCCAUUUUCCUUUAUGGUUAAUAUUAACGAUGAAGGGAGAUAUUAUGUCUCUCUCCUAUUGUGUACCACUGUUAAAUACUGUGGAAAAAUAA